UUAUUUUUUCACAGCAGCUCCCCCAGUCAUACAGAGCUAAUGUUUUGCAUAAUUCCUCCUAUAAAUUAUUGCUUUUGUUGUUUUGCUUCAAAGGGCUUGGUGUUGCCAAAAACUGAAAACAUCUUUUCUCUGUGCACAUAGAAAUGGUCAAAUAAACUCUGAGCAAAAACCAAGAGCCUGAGCUUUCCUUUUGAGAGGUUUUAUGCUAGGAAUGCCUCUGUGCCUUCUGUGCAAGGGCUUCAGCUCCCUGCCUUUGGAAAUCUGUCAGUGAAAGCACCAAGGAGCUCCAAGUUGACUGUGAAAGGAGUUGAGGGCUUUUCUGAAAUACUUGUAUAUAAAUUUUAGUAAAAGGAGCCACUAGUUAGAUUUGUGGCUUUCAAGGAUUUUUUUUGUAGUUCUCAAUUCACAUCCCAACCCAUGUAGCUCCUGCAGCAGCCAGACUCCAUGGGAAAGCCAUAGCAAAAAGGGGGAAGGGAAAAAAAGAAAAUGGCAUAAAUUACAGAAAAUAAAUGGGAUAUUUGAUACUUCUUGACAGACUCUGAAGCUUGAAAGCAAAAUGGAAAAAAUCCAGGAAGAUGGAGUUUAGGAACAUAUUUGUGCUUUGCCAAUAAUUUUCUUGUUACCAAGCAUCUCACAAAAUAUCAAAACCUCCUGUAUAUUAAGGAACUAUGAAGCAUAAACAACAAAAUAAAAAAAUUCUGCAAGACAAGGUACUUAUAAAUAGUUAUUAACAAGACCUGUUUGGGAAUACUUAGACAGUAUGAAAUAGUCUUCCAAAGAUGGUUUCUUUUGAUUUUGAUAUUUCUUUCUUCUGUAGUUAUAGUUCUUUAAAUUUUGCAAAAGCAGACAUCAAGUCCAUCUCCCUGUCCCUAGUAAGUGUUGACUUUAGUAGAUAGAAGAUGCUGCUGACUUCAGUAGAAAUAAGAUGCUGCCUUUAGUAGAGUACUGCUUUUAUUCUGAUUUUUUGGAGUCUGAAGCUCUCACUACUGAACUCUUGUACUGUCAAUGGACAUGUUUGGAAUGAGCAGAAAAAUGUCCAAACCUUUGGGAAAUGUAGGUGGAAAGAUGAACCAGUUACCCUCAAUUAUAAUAAAAUCAGUCUGGUUUUCAGUACAUGGUAACUUCAAGUAGGAAGUUCCAGACCUGCCUUGGGAAGGUGAGAUUUUGGUACUUAUAGUAUUGGGUUCAUUUUGUAGGAAAAAAGAUUCAAAGAAAUCUAUUUCUUGAUUUAUUCAUUUUAUCACUGUUGCAGAUCAACAGGAGAAUGUUUUUAGGUAAAUACUCUGAAAAUGAGUAUUUAAAUAAAAGCAUGAUGUAGUACAACACUGAACAGCAUGAACACAUAUCAGAUCUAAUUUCAGUACGCAUUAAAAGCCUUGUUUAACAAUUUUUUUACACAAAGAAACAUUGAACUGAGAUACUUCUUCAUGCUCUGAUGGCUUCCUUAAAUAGCUGGGAGCUUUAAGUGUGAUUUUUUUUUUUUUCCCUCAGUGAGUAUAUCCAUAGUGACAGAUCAUGGACCCCAGGAUGGGCUUUGCCCUUGGCAUGCUGUGGUGAAAAAGUCUUUUCUAUCUAAUUUUUUAAUAUUAAUAGAAAGUAUAAAGCCCAACAAUUAGAGACGUUGCAAUAUAGACUUUAAGGAAAUCAGGAAGCCUUGGCUUAAUUCUAUUUGGGUUUUAUUUGAUAUCUCAGCUGAUUUAUCCAGCAUCCCUCCUGUUGGAGUGGUUGGGAUCAGGGCUUGAAUGGCUUCAUUAGGGUGAUGUGUUUCAUACCUGCCUGCAGAGAGUGAAAGGAAAACUUCAUGGAACUUGGAAAGCCAGGGAGAAAUGAAAUUGAGAUUAGAUCUGCCAGAAAUGGUAUUUUGAAUACAGGUGAAGUCAUAAGAAAAACAUGAUAAAGAGGUGAUAUGUUGAAGAAUGAAAGUUAUUUUAUGACUGUAAGUGGAACACAAUUCCUUGAGCUGUGAGUGUGCAAAGGGGUGUUUGCUUCCGUGGGGUCCCUGAGGGACAGCCUGGCACAUCCCACCCUGGAGCCCCUCCUGCCUCAGGCUCUUGUGUCUGGAGCUUUACCUCAAGGCAGAGCAGACACAGGGUCUUGGGGAUAUAUGAUGGAAACAAUAAAUAAUACAUAUCCUGGUCCUUUCUCUGCUUUCCAGGGAAUAUUGUGUGUGCAUCCUGUGCAUGACAGGUGCAGUGUUCCCUGCCUUGUAAACACACCCUGCUGGAUGCACCGUGCUCUGGUGUGCUGGAAAUCACAAGGAGCACUUGUCAACUCAAGAGCAGAAUCCCUGCAACAUCCUUAUGUUAAUUUUUUGCUUUCAGCUUGUUGGAGCUAUAUCUGUAAUACCAAAAAAAAUAGAGCAUUACGAAAGUAAGUCUUGAUAAAGCUCAAAUUUUCUCAGCUUAUAAAUUUUAAGCAGACUAUUAGCUAGUGGAAUCUACUUAGUGUUUUCCUGAACACUUUGCUCUCUAAUAUUAUGUAUUUAAAACAUUUUCUUGUUGCUCUUAUGUUCUGAAAAGUCUACUAUGUUACAUCACAGUUGCUUAAAAAAAAGCAGUUGGAGAUGGGAGGUUAAAAGGUGGGGGUGUAACUGCUUCCCUGGAAAGUGUGCAAUUUGAAUUAACAAAUUAGAUCACAUAGUGUAAAAUCGGGGAAAAAAUAGAGCUGAGCUGGUGGAAUGCUUGAAAAAAAAAAUAUUCAAAACUCUUUUGCAAACUGAGGAUAAAAAGAAACCCAAAGUUCUUAGUUGUAGGCCAACCUUGUUAGCUUGUGAAAUGUUCCAGCAGAGGCAUUCUAGGAAAAGAUAAAUUUAUGUGCAGUCACUGCAACACUGAGCAUGUUAAAUAUUGGCCCUCAGACUUGCUCAGAGCUCUACAGGAGGAUGCUUUGAAAGUGUUGGUGCCUUCCUUUAUGACAUUUAUAAUUGGAAAUGGCAACUUCUCAGUGAGCCUUCUAACUCUUUCAUUUUUUCAGUCCCUUAACUAUGCAAAGAGAUUUGUAGAGUAAGGGGGAAUUUUGAGGAAAAUAGAAUCCCAGAACUUGAAGGAAUUCACUCCAACUUGGCCUGGCAUUAUUUUUAGUUCUUGCAUAAUAAUAAAUUAUUCUUUAGUAUAAGUGUCUCCUGUGAGGAGCUGCAGCAAGAGUGGAACUGUGGGUGUUUUUCCUCAUGGCUUUUGUGUGGGGCUGAGCCUUGGGACUGCACAACAGGGAAAUGUCUUUCAGAUUCCUGACUGUGUUGGUCAGCUGGAACUCUUGGAUUUCUGCCAGCCUGUGUAAGGACAUGGGUUUGAAGUAAAGCUGAGCUGGUCAAGUGUGGUGAUUCAUUCUGGCUCUGAAAUGGCCACUGUAAGGGUUUAAUUAACAUUGUGAUGGGUAGAAUUGGUCAGAGGCUGAAGUCCUUUAGUCCUUGUUCAGUCUUAGGUGGGUGAUGGGUGCUGAGCAUUAGAAAGAGCUUUUCUUUUGUUGGUGCCCUAACAGCAACAGUUGCUCCUCAUUUAAGCUUCCUGUGGCCUUGGCUUUAAAAGCUGUGGAGUGGCAGAGAACCUUGAGUGGGUUCUGUGCAGUGGGUGGGGUUAGCCAAGAUUCCCAGUCUGCCUGGGGAGCCAAGGUCCCUGUAGGGGCAGACAGAUUCCAGGGAGAAAACACAAUGGGCCUUUUGGCUGCUGCUGGCUUCCUGGGAUGUUUACUGCUCUGGGAGACAGGACACAAGCUUAACUGGAAAUUCCCUUUGUCUCCUGCUUUUCUGUAGGUCACUGUGGACAUAAAAGCUUUGUUUGAGUUACUGGAAUGGCUGAAUUUGGGUUUACUUUUCACUCACUUCUUUACUUUGGAACAAAUGACUGCAGUGUUGCUGAGAUUUUUCUGAUAAGAUCUCUGAAAGAUGCCAAAAGUGACUUGCCUAACAUGGCCUAAACAAAGAGAGAUGUAACUUCUUGAACAACCUUUCCAGGGAUCUCUCCAGAUACCUGGCCAGGCUCCAUUCUGCCAAGUUAACAGGCUUGUUUCCCUCUGUUGAAAUAUCCCCUCUGUCUUGAGGCUUCCAGCAGAACUGAGAAGUUGUGUUCUCCUGUUUUACUCCUGGACUCUUUAUUCCUAUGAUAUAUUCCUUACUGGAAAGGCUUCAUCUAAGACAGGAAGGGAGGUUGUUCAUAACAUGCAGCAAAGAACAAGAGGUGUGAGGAAGUGGAAGCAUCUGACAGGUAUUUUAAUUUCUGUAUGCUAAAAUAAAGCAAGUCACACGUGGAACAUGAGAUUCCUGGUAGCUGUUUUGUAGGAAGUUUUUCCAUACAGAGUCUCUGUUUUGUUGUUCAAGUCACAUUGAGUGCAAGUUUAGAACUGUCUGUGCCAGUGAUGAGACCCAUCUGUGAGAGACUGACAUGAUUCAUGGGAAAAUUGUCUCUGGUAACUGGUGAAGCCCCUUGAGAUGUUUUGCAGUGUCUUCUGGUGUCAAGAGCUGCUUUUUAAAAAAUGUUGCAUGUAGGGUCUCUAGCAAAGUGUUUUUGUAUCUCAGAUGUGAUAUACUGAUUUACUGGCUCGAGGUAAGUAAAUUUCUGUCCAUGAUUCUCAUGAUAAAGACAUCAAAAUUAGGUCUCAGUGCUAGAAUAUUGCAGUUUACAAUGCUUAGUGGGAUUCUGCAAUGGAUUAAUUAGCAUAACUCUUAAUAAGGGAACUAUUGUUUUCAAAUUAGAGUAAGGUGAAUAUUUCUUUUUAUUAGCAAUCAGUUAAGUAUCUAUACUAACUUCUAAAAAAUCAUUUGUGUGCAAGUAUAUUUCUCCUUCAAUAUGGUACAAUAAAAUACUUUUCUACUUUUGGGAGUUUAGCACAACCAAAACUAUUGACCAAGUAAGCGUUUUUUUGUAAAUGAACCUCUGUGUAAGCACUCACCUGCUGCAUUUCCAGGGUUUGGGUAUCCAGUUAUCCAGUAUAACAUUCAGUUCAAUAUUUAUUGCAAAUCAGUAUUGCUCUGAUAUAAUUGAUGCCUUUUUGCUGGUUUUGAAUUCAUUCCUUUCCAGUUCCCUUGUUUUUAGUUACCAGCAAGGAGCAAAGUGAGUGUUGGGAUUCAGUUAUCUUUUCAGAUAUCUUUUCAGUUAUCAGUAGUUUGUAGGUCCUUGCUAAAAGCACAGUAUUGACUCUGCAAAGGUAAUUAUAGGAAUACUAUUAAUAGUGUUUAGAAGGGAUCAUUGCUGUAAAUCUGUUUUAGCCUUUUUAUCAGCUGUGGUUUUAUGUAAUAUUCUGUAAAUCCCCUGGAAACACUGAUACCUUUAAGGAGUUUGGUUUGCUUUUAAAGGGAAAGGGAGGGGAAACAGAGAAGAACAGAUUUGGGAUAAUUUCCUUAUUGAAAGAUGCUUUUUAUUGCUCUUAAAAAAGCAAAAGUGAGUGAGGGCAUGACAGAGAAUAACCCUCACAUGUGCAGUGCCUUAUCUGCCAACUCUCUCUUAUUUU